CCUACGGGAGGCAGCAGUGGGGAAUAUUGCGCAAUGGGCGAAAGCCUGACGCAGCGACGCCGCGUGAGGGAUGAAGGUCUUCGGAUCGUAAACCUCUGUCAGCAGGGAAGAACGGUCACUGUGCUAAUCAGCAGUGAAUUGACGGUACCUGCAAAGGAAGCACCGGCUAACUCCGUGCCAGCAGCCGCGGUAAUACGGAGGGUGCGAGCGUUAAUCGGAAUUACUGGGCGUAAAGCGCUCGUAGGCGGUAUGUCAAGUCAAGGGGGAAAUCCCCGCGCUCAACGUGGGAACUGCCUUUGAAACUGGCAAACUGGAGUGUGUGAGAGGAUAGUGGAAUUCCAGGUGGAGGAGUGAAAUCCGUAGAUAUCUGGAGGAACAUCAGUGGCGAAGGCGACUAUCUGGCACAUAACUGACGCUGAGGAGCGAAAGCGUGGGUAGCAAACAGGAUUAGAUACCCCGGUAGUC
rnacentral:rRNA from 1 species